GAAAAUCUAAAAUGGCCUGAAGCCAGGGCUGUCAGUUACAGAGCUGCUGUGCUCACCCAGAGUGGGUUACAGGAACCCAAACUGACAGUAAUGGAGAAUGAGCAGAUAAUGGGAAGAAGAGCUGGGGAGCUCCGUGGACCCCGGCUCAGGGAGAGCUGCGGAAAGCCAGAGCGGGGAAAUGCUUCAGAGAGGGAAAAUCGAUUACUUCCUGCUUGUGUUGGUUUGAAGUUUAGUCGAAAUAUCUUCCUGUUGGAGUGACAGGUGCAGGAUCCAGUUUAGGACAGUCUGGGAGACCUGGGGCCACGUGCUGAGUGAGUGACUGGACGCAAGCAGCCCGAAUGCAAACCCACACUUGUCAUUUGCUGGCCUACACUUCCGAUGAGACGCUGGACCUCUGUGCUGAGUCUCCCUGUCUGCACAGUGGGCACGAUGGUGGCAUCUAGUUCAGGUCGCCGUGAGGAUCCCAUGCAUAAGUAACCCCAGAGUCCAUGGGAGGGCGCCUGGCACGGAGGGCAGCGUUGUUGUUAGUGACUAUUGUGCAAAUUGCAGGUAAGACUUUUCCGCUUCCCAGACAUGGCCUGGCGCUGGUGCUGGUCAGUCUCAGCUUCUUCCAGUCCUCGAGUCCCUUUCCAGCGAGCACAGGGUCCCCUACCCCCGGGGCUGCAGACAGUGCGGGUCACGGCCUGUCAGGAACCGGGCCGCACAACAGGAGGUGAGUGGUGGGUGGGUGAGCAGUGAACUUCAUCUGAAUGCAUCUGUAUUUGCAGCCGCCCCCAGCGCCAGCAUCACCGCUUCAGCUCUGCCUCAGAUCAUCAGGCAUCAGAUUCUCAUAGGAGCACCGGUCCCCGGUGCCACAAAGGCUGGGAACUAUUGGGUUGGCAGAUCAACUCUCUCUCCCACCCACACGUUCCUCUGUCCACACCCCUACAAUGACCCAUUGGUGCCUUGGGGGGUCAUUUUGCAUUUUCUUGGUUGCACUGGAUUCUGGGGGUUAAGAUAAAUCUAUGACACACUUUGGUGUCUCUUUCACAUCUCAGAUCCCAGCCAGACGUUAAGAUUUUCAAUUCUCAAAUGGUUUAGCCUAAAAGGGAAGAAGAGGCUGCGUUUGUGGUCACACUAGAAGGUGAGAAAGGAAAGCGACAAAGCAAGACUUGAAUUUAUGGUGAUCGCGAAUAAAGGUCAUAAGGACACUGAGCUCGCCCUUGACCUCUUGGUCAGGGGCACGGGAGGGCAGCUGCUGUGCUUGAGGACAGUCAAGCAGCACUGCCAAGAAGCCCACGGGGAUAGGAGCAGAUGCCUGCGGCCGACAGCCACCAUCGGCCUGCACGCUGCCGGAGGGAGCCACCUCGGACGGGGCCCGCUGGUCCCAGGCAGCCUGUCCGACGGCCAUAGCCCCACGGCCUCGUGAGAGACCCCAGGCCAGGGCCGCCCAAGCUGCCCGGGACUCCGGACCCACAGAAGUUGGGAGAGCGAAUCCACACUUGUUAUUGCUUUAAGCCAUUAAGUUUUGGGCUAAUUUGCUACAAAAACUAGAUGACCGACAGGACCGUGGAGCAGCUGUCUUCAGUCUGCUUCGCGUCUGGCAUCGUCGCGGUGGCCCGUCUUUGGCACAGUCAGGCUUCAGGAGCUAGGAAGCUGGAAUAAGCCCACUUUGUUCUGCAGACGUCCCUGAGUUUUCCUCAUCCCGGGAGAGUCUCUUUAAGGCCUCGGGGGAGGGGAGCUGGGGAUGCAGAGGAGAGGGCCACGUCGUCGAUGGCGUGUUCGUCAUCACUUGUCUUCGUUGGCAUUUGGCUUCGGCUACUACACGUAUUUGAAGGAGAAGGAAGCAGGGAACACGGCGGCCCGAAGAAACCGUCCGCGGGAGAUGCGCGGCCCCGGAGGGGUUGGGUGGCCGCGGCUUCGUCACGGCGAGCCACAGCCAGGAACGGAGCCAGCUCCGGCAGGCCACAGGGACGGCCUUCGACCCGCUGUGGGGCACAAAGUGGUGGGAUCGGGGAGGGAAGUCGGUGUCCACUCUGGCCUCUCCUCUGUGCCGUAAAGGGCUGUUCCCAGCUCCCGGGUGCGCGGGGACAGCUGACAGCGCUGGUGAAACUCACGGGGGGUUAGCGUCCACGUCCGAGCCUGCCGUCCUCGGCUUGCCAGCGCUGAUCCUGCUCCGCACGCCCCGCGGGGGGCGGCCCACGUCACGACUGUUCACGAUCACAUCCUGGCUCCCACCGCAGGCUGCUCCUCCUCCGAACGUGGAGCCAGGGCAUGUGGGCCGCCUCUCCCACCCAGGAGAGGUCCCGGGAGGUGGGGACAGUCACCUCUUCCCUUACCCCCAGUGCCCCGGGGCGCUCACCUGUUAACUUGCAGGCUGGCUUACAAUCUCUGGGCCCCCACCCUGGGACACCAGCCAAGUGUCCUGCCCCUGGGCGUCGGUCCUGCAAGGACGAUGGGCAGGGCCUGCCCCUCCCCACGCCAACCUCCAUCUCUCUUGAGGGAGGACCGCACACCCUCCUGAUCCCAAGGCCCUGGCUCGUGCUGUUCACACGCAAACGCUGGCCCUCGGAACAGGGCCCUCGGAAUUCCAGGGGGACCCUCUCUCGGCAGAGCCGGGAUCUCAUGUCAGAGGCCACACAGGACACGUGUCUCCUCGUCAGUGUGAGACCUCAGAGUCACGAACAAAGCUUGUCUCCCGCAUGGCAGAACCUCCGAUGACCAACAGUAACAGUGACGGAAGCUACUUGUCUAAAAGAAGGCGCUUCCGGUGCACGAGGCCACACGCAAGCCUGCCCACUCCCCACAUCCCCAGCGUCGCCGCCCUGAGCCCUCAGGCCGCCCUGUCAUCCCCAACACCUGCCUCUCCGCUACAUAACUGCCCACUUUCCACUCUUCUCCCCGCCCCACAUCUAAGCAGACCAAACGUGAGUCACCGUGAAUGGGUCAGAUUGCGAGCACCCUCACGAGACGUUUCACUGAGCUUGUGGCCGCGUGCCCACAGCCAGCGAGAGGUGUUCCACCCGAGGGUGCAGAGACGUGUCGCCAGCAGGUCGCCCCGGGAGGCCUCCUCCACGGCGUGCCCCCCUCGUCACCGCCAUCCCCACCUGCCGCUGCGCACGCGUGCGGUCGCGCCCUGUGCCGACUGCGCCGUGAAAAGUGCAUUUCCCAUCGCCACGUGACAGAAAAGGAAACUGAUUCCACCAACGGAGGCGCCUCGAGCCGCCGGGCCUCCCCGGAGCGGGCAGGGCCGCGUCCGGGCCUUCUUCCCGGCCUGGUCGCAGGGCGCCUGAGCGCCGGGGUCCCUUCCCGUGCCGCGGCGUUGGACCCUGCGGAGAAGCAGCGUUAAGUCGCCGCGUGGAGCCUGGGGCUUGGAGUCUAACACGGGGGUUCAAAUCCUGGCCCCGCCGCCUGCAGCUGUGACUCUAGGUGACACUAAUACUCUUGUACUCCCCACCAGGAUAGCUGGUCACCCUGCAAGUAGUUUGUCUAUUGUGGAUACAAGUCCUUUAUCCGAUGUGGUUUUGCAAAUACUCGUUCCUAAUUUGUUGACUGUCUUCGUUUUCUUUGUGGUCUUUUGAGGUGUAAAAGGUUGAUUGACAAGGUUCAGUCUGUGUGAUGUACUAGUCACCAUUAAAAAUAGGAAGAUCUCCAUGCCCGGUAAGCACCUGGCAGCCUCGGGGUGUCGGCGCAUCUAGCUGGAGACCUGGGCCCCUCAGCCGUUGACCGGCCAGGGCUGUCCUCGGGCCUGUCCCAGGGGAGGGCAGCUCGGGCUGCUCCGUUGUCCUCUGUUUUGCCCACUAGGAAAAAGAGCACGAAGUGAACCCAGGCAGCCGGGGCGGGUCCGCGGUCGGAGUGAGACGUCCCGUGGGGAGUCCCCAAGGGGGACAGUGCUGCCUGGUGGACACCCAGGUCAGUGAGCCUUUUCCCUGUGACCCAGCUGACCCUGUCAUGUCACAGAGCAAAGACCAAGACAAAGGACAGCAGGAAGCGUUUUAUUGUGACUACUGUGGCGUUAAAUGCAGGGGUCGCAGCGGCGCGGGGCUUAAAACAAAAGCACUUCCUGUUUCCUGGGGAGCGGACCGGAAGGAGCCGGGGGGAAGGAGCCGGGGAUUCGGAGCUUUGUCCCACCACGGGCGGUGAAAUCGUGUGGCAAGCCUCCGCCCGCCGUUGCCCUUUGUUAAUCGUCUUUUUCAGAAUGGACGUGGAGCCCGCAGGCCCCUGACACCUCCCCGGCCUGUGGAGCUGGCACUGCCCCCUGCAAGGCACCCCGCCCCCGACUGCGGGGAAAGCUUAGGCCACAGGCUGCCCCCACCCCAGGCUCAGCAUGGCGCUGGGUUAAUCCGUCGCUGGGGGUUUUGGUGAGGAGGCUUCUAUAUCCAUGAUCGCAGGCUGGGAGCUUUAUGCACACCCCCUGUAUUCUGCUCUGUUAAGGGGUCCCUGUUCUCAAGAGGACAUAUUUUGGGUUCCAGACACCCUGAGGCUAAGUUUAGGUGAGGAUCUUGGUGACUGUCUACACAUGGGGUGACGGCCCCACUGCCAGGCUGCUGGGCCCUCCCCAGGGAUGAAAUAUGCUCUGCCAGCAGGCGGGGCAAAUCAAACGUAAGAAAACAGAGCUCCUGUGAGGGACGCUGCCCUCUGACUCCAGGAAGGGCGGAGCCCAGUGAGAAAAACCGCUUUGAUCUCCAGGGAACCAAGUCCCUGGAUUAGAAACAAAGGAAGCCAGGGCCCUGUUUACCUUACGGUUGGUGUAGGAAGCACCUUUGUUUACCUUACUCUCCGUUUGAAGGACAGGGCCACGGGUUCACCUCUGGGCCUUGCCCCCGCUCCCCCCACCACAAUAACGUCACUAUGUCCCGCAGGCUGACGGCCCACACGUUAGGUCUGCAGGGCCCCGACUGCCCGUCCCCUGCCCCAGCAAGAAGGCGCGGCGGGAAGCGGGGGUCAGAGCUCUCCCAGUGCCUGUCCGAGGUCGGGAGCCCUUAUCUCUGGGGUGCGGCUCCCUUUCUCUACACCAGGGAUUCUCCACAGGAGGGGGGGUCUCAACGGGGCUGUGACAUAGGCACAAACCUAAAACGCCAGGCUCUCGCCAGCUUCGUGGGACCUGAGGCCUGGCGGGCCCAGAGCAGCCGGGGUCCGGGGUCACAGGGCCCGUAGGCCUCAUCCCGCAUCACCACGCACGGGGAGAGCUGUGCGUGUACAGAGAGAUGAGCCGAGGAACAGCGGGUGCAGGAGGAGACGGGACAGGGGCCCAGGCGGAGUGGGGGCCGCGGCCCGCAGCACAAGCCACUCUGCCUGGGUUCCGCCUCGUGCUCUCGAAGUGGAGCAUCGGGAGAAGCUGCUUUUUCCCCAGUUGGGAACUUUUCGGAACCUUUUUGGGGGUCAGUUCCCACAUGGAAGCCUGGACACGGGGCGCCGAGCCUCGGGAACUCAGUGUCCAGCGACAGGUCCUGUUACUGGGGCCCCCGUCCUCCGCUUUGGAAACUGUGGGUCACAGGGAGGGAGGGAGGUGGAGCCUUUCCGUAGGGACAGGAGAAGAGCUGGCCCACGGUCACGUCAAUGCCGCCACCCGGUGUGGGUGACAGUGAGUGGACAGGCGGGUGGGGCCAGGCUGUCGAUCCUCACGUUUGUCUGCAGAGCCGUUCAGUGACAAGGACUUGGGGCGCCCUCACACAUCGUAGCUAGGUCCCCC